rnacentral:tRNA from 1 species
GCCUGGGUGGCUCAGUUGGUUAAGCAUCUGACUUUGGCUCAGGUCAUGAUCUCAUGGUUCAUGGGUUUGAGCCCCAUGUCAGGCU